UACGUAGGAGGCGAGCGUUGUCCGGAGUUACUGGGCGUAAAGGGUGCGCAGGCGGCGGUUCGCGUGGCGAGAUGAAAUCUCCUGGCUUACCUGGGAGGAUGGUCGCCAGACGGGAUCGCUUGAGGGUCGGAGAGGGGCGUGGAAUUCCGGGUGGAGCGGUGAAAUGCGUAGAGAUCCGGAGGAACACCGACGGCGUAGGCAGCGCCCUGGACGACACCUGACGCUGAGGCACGAAAGCGUGGGGAGCCAAAGGG
rnacentral:rRNA from 1 species